CGUGCCUGUACGAAGUCGCGUCUUCUUGUCUUGUGCUCGCUCGAUUUCAAACGUUUCGUUUCAAAGGGAGAACCAACAAUUGUAAUAUAAGUGAUAUAAAACUAUGAAGUCACCGGAUGAUAAUUAAAAAAUGAAACGAAAAGAACGGAGGAACUAGAAAGAGAGAUAGAGGCCAAUGUCGCCGCUCUGAGAAUAACGACAUUAACAUUACCGGUAGUUCCAAGUAGGUCGCAACAGUCGAGAUAAACGAGCGAUCGAGACCAAUGACCACUCCUUGACCUAGACGUCUCGGCAUUAACCUGGUCCGACCUACUCUUCAUCCUGAUUUUGUUCGGAGCAAGCAAUGUCACGAGGACGCGUGAUCGUAAAAGUUGCGGCCUACCGAAGACAUCGGUAUAUUAUUGUAUUAAUACUUUAUCAAUACCGCAGGGAACGGAUGUAUGUUGCAACUUGACGUAUGUAUUUGCAAUGAGAUACCCUAUAUCACGCAAUUAUGCAUUUCGAUGACAAAGUGAGGUAAAUAAAUAUCCCUUUUAGAUUUUA